CAGCAGCCGCGGGAAUACAGAGGGUGCGAGCGUUAAUCGGAUUUACUGGGCGUAAAGCGUGCGUAGGCGGCUUCUUAAGUCGGAUGUGAAAUCCCUGAGCUUAACUUAGGAAUUGCAUUCGAUACUGGGAAGCUAGAGUAUGGGAGAGGAUGGUAGAAUUCCAGGUGUAGCGGUGAAAUGCGUAGAGAUCUGGAGGAAUACCGGUGGCGAAGGCGGCCCCCUGGACAAAGACUGACGCUCAGGUGCGAAAGCGUGGGGAGCAAACAGGAUUAGAUACCCCAGUAGUCCCUGUCUCUUAUAC
rnacentral:rRNA from 1 species